rnacentral:ncRNA from 1 species
AGUAAAAAGGGUUUUUUUCAAGCCUUUCUUUUUGCGUGCUGUAACAUAGUAAUUAUCUUUUCUCAAUUAGGAGAGAUGGCUGAGUGGACUAAAGCAUCAGACAGGCGGUGGAAACUACCAAGCUGGAGUAACGUAGGGGCAGAGGGAAUUUCCGGUGGAGCGAUGAAAUGCGUAGAGAUUGGAAAGAACACCAACGGCGAAAGCACUCUGCUGGGCCGGCACUGACACUGAGCGACGAAAGCUAGGGGAGUGAAUGGGAUUAGAUACCCCAGUAGUCCUAGCCGUAAACGAUGUAUACUAGGCGCUGUGCGUAUCGACCCGUGCA